rnacentral:rRNA from 1 species
GGUUAAGCGACUAAGCGUACACGGUGGAUGCCCUGGCAGUCAGAGGCGAUGAAGGACGUGCUAAUCUGCGAAAAGCGUCGGUAAGGUGAUAUGAACCGUUACAGCCGGCGAUGUCCGAAUGGGGAAACCCAGUGCAAUUCGUUGCACUAUCGUUAACUGAAUACAUAGGUUAACGAGGCGAACCGGGGGAACUGAAACAUCUAAGUACCCCGAGGAAAAGAAAUCAACCGAGAUUCCCCCAGUAGCGGCGAGCGAACGGGGAGCAGCCCAGAGUCUGAAUCAGCUUGUGUGUUAGUGGAACGGUCUGGAAAGUCCGACGGUACAGGGUGAUAGUCCCGUACACCAAAAUGCACAGGUUGUGAACUCGAAGAGUAGGGCGGGACACGUGGUAUCCUGUCUGAAUAUGGGGGGACCAUCCUCCAAGGCUAAAUACUCCUGACUGACCGAUAGUGAACCAGUACCGUGAGGGAAAGGCGAAAAGAACCCCGGCGAGGGGAGUGAAAAAGAACCUGAAACCGUGUACGUACAAGCAGUGGGAGCACCUUCGGGUGUGACUGCGUACCUUUUGUAUAAUGGGUCAGCGACUUAUAUUCUGUAGCAAGGUUAACCGUAUAGGGGAGCCGCAGGGAAACCGAGUCUUAACUGGGCGUUAAGUUGCAGGGUAUAGACCCGAAACCCGGUGAUCUAGCCAUGGGCAGGUUGAAGGUUGGGUAACACUAACUGGAGGACCGAACCGACUAAUGUUGAAAAAUUAGCGGAUGACUUGUGGCUGGGGGUGAAAGGCCAAUCAAACCGGGAGAUAGCUGGUUCUCCCCGAAAGCUAUUUAGGUAGCGCCUCGUGAAUUCAUCUUCGGGGGUAGAGCACUGUUUCGGCUAGGGGGUCAUCCCGACUUACCAACCCGAUGCAAACUACGAAUACCGAAGAAUGUUAUCACGGGAGACACACGGCGGGUGCUAACGUCCGUCGUGAAGAGGGAAACAACCCAGACCGCCAGCUAAGGUCCCAAAGUCAUGGUUAAGUGGGAAACGAUGUGGGAAGGCACAGACAGCCAGGAUGUUGGCUUAGAAGCAGCCAUCAUUUAAAGAAAGCGUAAUAGCUCACUGGUCGAGUCGGCCUGCGCGGAAGAUGUAACGGGGCUAAACCAUGCACCGAAGCUGCGGCAGCGACACUAUGUGUUGUUGGGUAGGGGAGCGUUCUGUAAGCCUGCGAAGGUGUGCUGUGAGGCAUGCUGGAGGUAUCAGAAGUGCGAAUGCUGACAUAAGUAACGAUAAAGCGGGUGAAAAGCCCGCUCGCCGGAAGACCAAGGGUUCCUGUCCAACGUUAAUCGGGGCAGGGUGAGUCGACCCCUAAGGCGAGGCCGAAAGGCGUAGUCGAUGGGAAACAGGUUAAUAUUCCUGUACUUGGUGUUACUGCGAAGGGGGGACGGAGAAGGCUAUGUUAGCCGGGCGACGGUUGUCCCGGUUUAAGCAUGUAGGCUGAUUGUCCAGGCAAAUCCGGAUAAUCAAGGCUGAGGUGUGAUGACGAGGCACUACGGUGCUGAAGUAACAAAUGCCCUGCUUCCAGGAAAAGCCUCUAAGCAUCAGGUAACAUCAAAUCGUACCCCAAACCGACACAGGUGGUCAGGUAGAGAAUACCAAGGCGCUUGAGAGAACUCGGGUGAAGGAACUAGGCAAAAUGGUGCCGUAACUUCGGGAGAAGGCACGCUGGUGUGUAGGUGAAGUCCCUGCGGAUGGAGCUGAGACCAGUCGAAGAUACCAGCUGGCUGCAACUGUUUAUUAAAAACACAGCACUGUGCAAACACGAAAGUGGACGUAUACGGUGUGACGCCUGCCCGGUGCCGGAAGGUUAAUUGAUGGGGUUAUCCGUAAGGAGAAGCUCUUGAUCGAAGCCCCGGUAAACGGCGGCCGUAACUAUAACGGUCCUAAGGUAGCGAAAUUCCUUGUCGGGUAAGUUCCGACCUGCACGAAUGGCGUAAUGAUGGCCAGGCUGUCUCCACCCGAGACUCAGUGAAAUUGAACUCGCUGUGAAGAUGCAGUGUACCCGCGGCAAGACGGAAAGACCCCGUGAACCUUUACUAUAGCUUGACACUGAACAUUGAGCCUUGAUGUGUAGGAUAGGUGGGAGGCUUUGAAGCGUGGACGCCAGUCUGCGUGGAGCCAACCUUGAAAUACCACCCUUUAAUGUUUGAUGUUCUAACGUUGGCCCCUGACCGGGGUUGCGGACAGUGUCUGGUGGGUAGUUUGACUGGGGCGGUCUCCUCCCAAAGCGUAACGGAGGAGCACGAAGGUUAGCUAAUCCUGGUCGGACAUCAGGAGGUUAGUGCAAUGGCAUAAGCUAGCUUGACUGCGAGCGUGACGGCGCGAGCAGGUGCGAAAGCAGGUCAUAGUGAUCCGGUGGUUCUGAAUGGAAGGGCCAUCGCUCAACGGAUAAAAGGUACUCCGGGGAUAACAGGCUGAUACCGCCCAAGAGUUCAUAUCGACGGCGGUGUUUGGCACCUCGAUGUCGGCUCAUCACAUCCUGGGGCUGAAGUAGGUCCCAAGGGUAUGGCUGUUCGCCAUUUAAAGUGGUACGCGAGCUGGGUUUAGAACGUCGUGAGACAGUUCGGUCCCUAUCUGCCGUGGGCGCUGGAGAAUUGAGGGGGGCUGCUCCUAGUACGAGAGGACCGGAGUGGACGCAUCACUGGUGUUCGGGUUGUCAUGCCAAUGGCACUGCCCGGUAGCUAAAUGCGGAAGAGAUAAGUGCUGAAAGCAUCUAAGCACGAAACUUGCCCCGAGAUGAGUUCUCCCUGAGACUUUAAGUCUCCUGAAGGAACGUUGAAGACGACGACGUUGAUAGGCCGGGUGUGUAAGCGCAGCGAUGCGUUGAGCUAACCGGUACUAAUGAACCGUGAGGCUUAACCUU